AUGUAUACUUCAACCCGCAAUCUCACAGUAUUUCAUUGCGAACUAAAAAAGGAGCAAAUUCAUUUUAGAUUUUUUUGCCUUGACCAUUGCAUUUGUGGCACUUUAUUUCUUACAAAAUUAUGAAUAUAAAGUACUCUAGCGGGGGAGUGGUUGGGGUGGAGUUAACUAGCUAUUGUUCCCACCCAUUAUCUCCCUGUGAGAAGUGUGAAAAGUUCAAGAUCUUUCAAGGGGAUUUUCUCUGCUACUUGAUUUUAGGAGUACCAACAUUCAAAUAAGCAUAUCUUCAACUA